rnacentral:rRNA from 1 species
UACGUAGGGGGCUAGCGUUGUCCGGAAUGAUUGGGCGUAAAGCGUCUGUAGGUGGCUUUUCAAGUCCGCCGUCAAAUCCCAGGGCUCAACCCUGGACAGGCGGUGGAAACUACCAAGCUAGAGUACGGUAGGGGCAGAGGGAAUUUCCGGUGGAGCGGUGAAAUGCAUUGAGAUCGGAAAGAACACCAACGGCGAAAGCACUCUGCUGGGCCGACACUGACACUAAGAGACGAAACCUAGGGGAGCAAAUGGG